ACUGCUCAGUAACACGUGGAUAACCUGCCCUUGGGUCCGGCAUAACCCCGGGAAACUGGGGAUAAUUCCGGAUAACGCACAUAUGCUGGAAUGCUUUAUGCGUCAAAUGGAUUCGUCUGCCCAAGGAUGGGUCUGCGGCCUAUCAGGUAGUAGUGGGUGUAAUGUACCUACUAGCCGACAACGGGUACGGGUUGUGAGAGCAAGAGCCCGGAGAUGGAUUCUGAGACAUGAAUCCAGGCCCUACGGGGCGCAGCAGGCGCGAAAACUUUACAAUGCGGGAAACCGUGAUAAGGGGACACCGAGUGUCAGCAUCAUAUGCUGGCUGUCCAGGUGUGUAAAAUACACCUGUUAGCAAGGGCCGGGCAAGACCGGUGCCAGCCGCCGCGGUAACACCGGCGGCCCGAGUGGUGAUCGUGAUUAUUGGGUCUAAAGGGUCCGUAGCCGGUUUGGUCAGUCCUCCGGGAAAUCUGAUAGCUCAACUAUUAGGCUAUCGGGGGAUACUGCCAGGCUUGGAACCGGGAGAGGUAAGAGGUACUACAGGGGUAGGAGUGAAAUCUUGUAAUCCCUGUGGGACCACCUGUGGCGAAGGCGUCUUACCAGAACGGGUUCGACGGUGAGGGACGAAAGCUGGGGGCACGAACCGGAUUAGAUACCCGGGUAGUCCCAGCCGUAAACGAUGCUCGCUAGGUGUCAGACAUGGCGCGACCGUGUCUGGUGCCGCAGGGAAGCCGUGAAGCGAGCCACCUGGGAAGUACGGCCGCAAGGCUGAAACUUAAAGGAAUUGGCGGGGGAGCA
rnacentral:rRNA from 1 species